rnacentral:tRNA from 1 species
GAGGGCAUAGCUCAAGUGGUAGAGCGCAGGCCUAGCCUGCCUGAGGUCCUGGGUUCAAUCCCCAGCACCUCCA